rnacentral:sRNA from 1 species
UGUAAGGGUUAUUGGAUCUGUUGGAUCCGU